CUUGAAAAUUAGGGGAUGACGUGUGGAUAGGGGUGAAAGGCUAAUCAAGCCGGGAGAUAUCUGGUUCUCCUCGAAAGCUAUUUAGGUAGCGCCUCGAGCGAAUACCAUUGGGGGUAGAGCACUGUUAAGGCUAGGGGGUCAUCCCGACUUACCAACCCUUUGCAAACUCCGAAUACCAAUGAGUACUACUCGGGAGACACACGACGGGUGCUAACGUCCGCCGUGAAAAGGGAAACAACCCAGACCACCAGCUAAGGUCCCAAAGUCAUGGUUAAGUGGAAAACGAUGUGGGAAGGCAUAGACAGCUAGGAGGUUGGCUUAGAAGCAGCCACCCUUUAAAGAAAGCGUAAUAGCUCACUAGUCGAGUCGGCCUGCGCGGAAGAUGUAACGGGGCUCAAACCAUGCACCGAAGCUGUGGACUUGCAUUAUGUGCAAGUGGUAGAGGAGCGUUCUGUAAGCCUGCGAAGGUAGAUUGUGAAGUCUGCUGGAGGUAUCAGAAGUGCGAAUGCUGACAUAAGUAACGAUAAGGGGAGUGAAAAACUUCCCCGCCGGAAGACCAAGGGUUCCUAUCCCAUGCUAAUCAGGGUAGGGUAAGUCGGCCCCUAAGGCGAGGGCGAAAGCCGUAGUCGAUGGGAAACGGGUUAAUAUUCCCGUACCGACAGUACUGCGAUGGGGGGACGGAGAAAGCUAGGCAAGCAUGGCGUUGGUAGUCCAUGUGAAAGUACGUAGGCAGGGGGAUUAGGCAAAUCCGGUUCCCUAAUGCUGAGAUACGAGACGAGCCACUACGGUGGUGAAGUUGCUGAUGCUACGCUUCCAGGAAAAGCCUCUAAGCUUCAGGUACUGUUGACCGUACUCGAAACCGACACAGGUGGUCAGGUAGAGAAUACCAAGGCGCUUGAGAGAACUCUGGUGAAGGAACUAGGCAAAAUAGUACCGUAACUUCGGGAGAAGGUACGCUCUCUAGUGUGAAGGACUUGCUCCGUAAGCAUUGGAGAGUCGCAGUGACCAGCUGGCUGCAACUGUUUAUUAAAAACACAGCACUCUGCAAACUCGAGAGAGGACGUAUAGGGUGUGACACCUGCCCGGUGCCGGAAGGUUAAUUGAUGGGGUUAGCGCAAGCGAAGCUCUUGAUCGAAGCCCCGGUAAACGGCGGCCGUAACAAUAACGGUCCUAAGGUAGCGAAAUUCCUUGUCGGGUAAGUUCCGACCUGCACGAAUGGUGUAAUGAUGGCCAGGCUGUCUCCACCAGAGACUCAGUGAAAUUGAAAUUGCG
rnacentral:rRNA from 1 species